rnacentral:tRNA from 1 species
GAAAAGAUAGUUUGGUGGGUUAAACACAAGAUUGUUAUCUUGAGGAGCUGGGUUAAAUUCCCUGCCUUAUUA